rnacentral:tRNA from 1 species
AGGCUUGUAGUUCAAUUGGAAGAGCAUCACUCUGAUAAGGUGAAAGUUGGUGGUUCAAGUCCAUCCAAGCCUA